UUUGUUGGACUCUUUGUCUGUAUUAGAUUUUGAAUAACUGUCUCAAGAAGACAAGUCUUCUUUAUCUAUUCAUAAUUUUUGUUCUAUUUUGCAAAAAAAAAGUACAGUCUUUAUUUAUUUAUAAUUAUUAUUUUAUUUUGCAAAAAAUGUACAGUCGAAUCGAAUUUUCACGGGACACGAAAUUUUGUUCGAGUUAGAGCGAAAUUCGAGUUAGAGGAAUUAAUAUAGAUUAAAAAAAAAAUAUUAAAAUCACCUUAUAAGAAAUUCGUCUCUUUUGUUUUCUUUUUUUAUUUUUUGUAAUUGUUUUUGUUAUUAAAUUAUUUUUUUUUUUUUAAUUCAGUAAUUAUUGCAAUGCCUGCCAUAAUAAAUAUCUGUAUGUCUUAAACAUAAUAAAAACAAAUUAUUUCUAAUUAAACUAGUGUUGUUCUCAAACGAUACCAUUUUUUUGUUUUGUUUAUAGUUAAUAAGUUUUCAUUUGUUUUGUUAAACAUACACCGAAGCAAAGGAAAUGUUAUAAUAUAAGCUUGAACAGUAUUUUAAACUUUUACUUUUAACAUUUUCAAUGUUUGUAAUCUUAAUUAAAUUUAACAGUUCGUAUUGGCUUAGUUUUUUCGUCGAAAUAAAUAUAAAUAUAAGAAAAAAGUAUUAAAAUUUUAAUCAAAAAUAAAUAAAUAAAUUGUACAGUCUCUAUUUAAGUUCGAAUUGAUCGGGUUAAGAGAAUAAUUGUUAGACUUUAAAAUAAAUAGCCUUUUUCUAUUAUCCUUGUGGAUCGAAAAAAUUAUUGUAAUAACUUUUCAAUCUUCUUUUAAACUGAUUUAUAAAUAAAAGCGAAUUGAAAGCUUCUUCCACAAGGAUGAUGUAUAGAAAUGCUCUAAAAUAUUGAUAAAAUCAUUAAUGUUUUUGUUUUUUAUGUCCGAUUUAUGUUUUCAAAAAUAUAACUAAAUACGAACACAAUUUCUGUUCCCAAUCAGCUUGAACUUAAUAGAAAGUGUAUUUUUCCCAUCACUUCUGGGUGGCUUGUUAUUAUUUUAAAUUAUGCUAACCGAUUUUAAUAAAAAUAAAUAAUUUUUGUUUGUAUCCUUUUUUUUUUAUCUAAUAUCUUAAAUUUAAGUUAGUUUUAUUGUAUAAAAUGCAUCGGUACUUUUGCAAGUUUCGGUUUAUUUUUUGUUUUGUGUGAGAGCGUGUAUGAGGAUUCAUGUGUAAAAGUGUUUCCUUAUACUCGUAAGUAAAAAAAAUUGAAAGUUUUAAAACUAUGCGGGGAAGCAUUACGUUUAGUAGUUAUUUUCUAAAUCUUUAGGCAACAAUCUUAUGUGGUUGCAUCCAUUUUUUCAUAUAAUAACAGAAAAGAGUUGAAAUGUAAAGCAGGAUCAUUAGGGCACAUGUAACGGCAAGAGCUAGGACGGACGUCUUUGUUGGACAUGGCUCGAUUAUUGUGACAGUCUUAUCUGAAAGGUCAAGUAUAAAAAAAAUUAGAAACAGUUACAAAAACUCAAUCCUUUUGUACUUGAUAAUAUUUACCUUUGGCGAAAUCGGUACUUGGAUCCGCCUUGAAAAAUUCUCGUUUCUCAUCUCCAAAAUCAAGGACCAGAAUUUCUUGUGAAAUAUUCAUAUCAUCAUCGGCUUCUUUGGUUUCGUUACUAGAAAAAUGAGUGAAAAGAUUUGCCAAGAGGCUUAUUUUUCGAGGGUAAUGAGGAUUCGGGCCUGAAGGCAUGAACUGAAAAGGGGAGCCAAGGACUAGUGACUUAAACAUUAAAUUCGAAAACAACAUCAUCUAAGAUGAAUUUGAUCUCUUCAAAAAUAUGCAAUUGUUUAUUUUAUUUUUUUUUUGAUUUAAAUGCAUUUUUGUUUUUAAAUACUAACUAAUUUUUUUAUAAACAUUUUUUUUAAAAUUUGUUUUUAACUAACUUGGUAAACAGUUUUGUUGUUAUUAUUCACAAUGUACCAGAAUAAAAAAAUCUAUGCCCAG